AUGCCGGAUCGAAAUGCUGCCAAAUUCUUCAUCGUAGAGGUGUUGAAACACAGAGGCCCCGAUUUGAGCGGUUUGCAUUGUUCUCACUAUUCUGAUGAUGUUGAUUCUAAGGUAAAAGAUGCAGAAAAAGAAGUUCAAGGAUCAACAGAGAAUGCACUUGUCGAAGAAGUGAAGAUAGAACCAAUGACGGAGAGUGUGACCAACAUUGGCAAGGCUAAAGGAAAAAGUGUCUCGGUCACACCUGAUGUUGCUCAUUCUUCAUAA